rnacentral:tRNA from 1 species
GAGGGUAUAGCUUAGUGGUAGGGUCCAUGCUUAGCAUGCACAAGGUCCUGGGUUCAUUCCCCAGUACCAUCA